rnacentral:rRNA from 1 species
AGAGUUUGAUUCUGGCUCAGGAUAAACGCUGGCGGCGCACAUAAGACGUGCAAGUCGAACGGACUUAAUCGAUUCUUUUAGAUUCGAAGCGGGUAGUGGCGGACUGGUGAGUAACACGUAAGCAACCUGCCUAUUAGAGGGGAAUAACAGUGAGAAAUCAUUGCUAAUACCGCAUAAGCUGAUAGUAUCGCAUGAUAUAGUCAGAAAAGGAGUAAUCCGCUAAUAGAUGGGCUUGCGUCUGAUUAGCUAGUUGGUAAGGUAACGGCUUACCAAGGCGACGAUCAGUAGCCGACCUGAGAGGGUGAUCGGCCACAUUGGAACUGAGACACGGUCCAGACUCCUACGGGAGGCAGCAGUGGGGAAUAUUGGGCAAUGGGCGAAAGCCUGACCCAGCAACGCCGCGUGAGGGAAGAAGGGUUUCGGCUCGUAAACCUCUGUCCUAUGGGACGAAGAAGUGACGGUACCAUAGGAGGAAGCCCCGGCUAACUACGUGCCAGCAGCCGCGGUAAUACGUAGGGGGCGAGCGUUGUCCGGAAUGAUUGGGCGUAAAGGGCGCGUAGGCGGCCCGUUAAGUCUGGAGUGAAAGUCCCGCUUUCAAGGUGGGAAUUGCUUUGGAUACUGAUGGGCUUGAGUGCAGGAGAGGAAAGCGGAAUUACCGGUGUAGCGGUGAAAUGCGUAGAGAUCGGUAGGAACACCAGUGGCGAAGGCGGCUUUCUGGACUGAAACUGACGCUGAGGCGCGAAAGCGUGGGGAGCAAACAGGAUUAGAUACCCUGGUAGUCCACGCUGUAAACGAUGAAACCUAGGGGGGGGAAGGCGGACCCCUUCCGUGCUGCAGUUAACACAAAAAGUAUUCCACGAUGGGGAGGAGGGCCGCAAGGUUUGAAAUUCAAAGAAUUUGACGGGGGCCUGGCACAGGCAGUGGAUUAUGUGGUUUAAUUCGACGCAACGCGAAGAACCUUUCCAGGAUUUGACAUCCAACUAAUGAAGUAGAGAUACAUCAGGUGCCCUUCGGGGAAAGUUGAGACAGGUGGUGCAUGGUUGUCGUCAGCUCGUGUCGUGAGAUGUUGGGUUAAGUCCCGCAACGAGCGCAACCCCUAUUGUUAGUUGCUACGCGAGAGCACUCUAGCGAGACUGCCGUUGACAAAACGGAGGAAGGCGGGGACGACGUCAAAUCAUCAUGCCCCUUAUGUCCUGGGCUACACACGUAAUACAAUGGCCGUCAACAAAGGGAAGCAAAGCCGCGAGGCAGAGCAAACCCCCAAAAACGGUCUCAGUUCGGAUAGCAGGCUGCAACUCGCCUGCAUGAAGCUGGAAUUGCUAGUAAUCGUGGAUCAGCAAGCCACGGUGAAUACAAAGCCGGGCCUUGCACACACCGCCCGUCA